GGAAGGGCAAUCUAGCUGCGACCUGUCAGCCCAUUGAUUACCAAGUGUUGAUUCAUCUGAUCUGCCUAGCUAGGCCGGUGCCCUCUUCCUUCCUCACCAUUCAAUGUGUAUCCCUCUGAAAUAUUCAUGCUUUGUGGCAGAGGAAGAAUUUCCCUGAACUGGGAAGGAGCUCUCUUCUGUCAGAUGUCUAUGAAUAGCUGUAUUUCCCUACUAGACCUCCAAAUAAGCUCUUAAAAGAUUUAUAUGAGAAUAAUCAUUAUCCAGAAUUAUAGUUUUCUAUUAAAUGCCUGUUUUUCAAU
rnacentral:snRNA from 1 species